rnacentral:rRNA from 1 species
GGGGCAUAUGUCUUGUAAUUGGAAUGAUGCCGACUUAAACCCUCGGCAGAGUACCAAUUGGAGGGCAAGUCUGGUGCCAGCAGCCGCGGUAAUUCCAGCUCCAAUAGCGUAUAUUAAACUUGUUGCAGUUAAAAAGCUCGUAGUUGAAUUUGAGCUUGCGCGAUUCCGUUAUUGGAGUAUUGCGCUUGCUUUUUUGUUACUUUGAGAAAAUUAGAGUGUUUCAAGCAGACUUUUGUCUUGAAUACUUCAGCAUGGAAUAAUAGAUAGGACCUUGGUUCUAUUUUGUUGGUUUUUGAGCCUUGGUAAUGGUUAAUAGGAACGGUUGGGGGCAUUCGUAUUUAA